CAGCCGCCGCGGUAAUACGUAGGGUGCGAGCGUUAAUCGGAAUUACUGGGCGUAAAGCGUGCGCAGGCGGUUGAGUAAGACAGGUGUGAAAUCCCCGGGCUUAACCUGGGAACUGCGCUUGUGACUGCACAGCUAGAGUAUGGCAGAGGGGGGUGGAAUUCCACGUGUAGCAGUGAAAUGCGUAGAGAUGUGGAGGAACACCGAUGGCGAAGGCAGCCCCCUGGGCCAAUACUGACGCUCAUGCACGAAAGCGUGGGGAGCAAACAGGAUUAGAUACCCCCGUAGUCCCUGUCUCUUAUAC
rnacentral:rRNA from 1 species